CUCUGAUAUUUUUCUGCGUAAUAUCCGUGGUGAUAAACGUAGAGAUAUUAGUAAGCGUCUACUGGAUUCGGAGGCCGCUAAGCCCGACGCUUCACAUUAGCUUGAGUCUUGCCGGAGCUGACGCAUUUUCAAGUAUUGCCUUGGGUGUUGGCCUCGUGAUGAACAGCUUCGUACCCUUCGGCUUGGGGCUCACACUCAACGGUGUGGAUUGUUUCCUAUUGGGACUCGAAGCCGUGCGACUCGGGGCUAUUAUCAUAACCGUGGCGCAUCUCAUGGC
rnacentral:misc_RNA from 1 species